rnacentral:rRNA from 1 species
UCUCAGUUCGGAUUGAAGGCUGAAAUUCGCCUUCAUGAAGCUGGAAUUGCUAGUAAUGGCAGGUCAGCAUACUGCCGUGAAUACGUUCCCGGGCCUUGUACACACCGCCCGUCACACCAUGAGAGUUGGGAAUACCCGAAGCCUGUGAGCUAACUGUAAGGAGGCAGCAGUCGAAGGUAGAAUCAAUGAUUGGGGUGAAGUCGUAACAAGGUACC